UACGAAGGGGCUAGCGUUGCUCGGAAUCACUGGGCGUAAGGUGCGUAGGCGGGUUUUAAGUCAGGGUGAAAUCCUGGAGCUCAACUCCAGAACUGCCUUUGAUACUGAAAUCUUGAGUCCGGGAGAGGUGAGUGGAACUGCGAGUGUAGAGGUGAAAUUCGUAGAUAUUCGCAAGAACACCAGUGGCGAAGGCGGCUCACUGGCCCGAUACUGACGCUGAGGCACGGAA
rnacentral:rRNA from 1 species